UGGCGGACGGGUGAGUAAUGUCUGGGAAACUGCCUGAUGGAGGGGGAUAACUACUGGAAACGGUAGCUAAUACCGCAUAACGUCGCAAGACCAAAGAGGGGGACCUUCGGGCCUCUUGCCAUCGGAUGUGCCCAGAUGGGACUAGCUAGUAGGUGGGGUAACGGCUCACCUAGGCGACGAUCCCUAGCUGGUCUGAGAGGAUGACCAGCCACACUGGAACUGAGACACGGUCCAGACUCCUACGGGAGGCAGCAUG
rnacentral:rRNA from 1 species